rnacentral:rRNA from 1 species
GACGAACGCUGGCGGCGUGCUUAACACAUGCAAGUCGAACGGUGAAGCGCCUUCCUUUUUGGUGGGUGUGGAUGAGUGGCGAACGGGUGAGUAACACGUGAGUAACCUGCCCCCUUCUUCUGGAUAACCGCAUGAAAGUGUGGCUAAUACGGGAUAUUCUGGGUCUGUCGCAUGAUGGGUCCGGGAAAGAUAUUGUUUCGGUGGGGGAUGGGCUCGCGGCCUAUCAGCUUGUUGGUGGGGUGAUGGCCUACCAAGGCGGUGACGGGUAGCCGGCCUGAGAGGGUGGACGGUCACACUGGGACGGAGACACGGCCCAGACUCCUACGGGAGGCAGCAGUGGGGAAUAUUGCACAAUGGGCGCAAGCCUGAUGCAGCGACGCCGCGUGAGGGAUGGAGGCCUUCGGGUUGUGAACCUCUUUCGCCAGUGAAGCAGGCCUGCCUCGUUUGUGGGUGGGUUGACGGUAGCUGGAGAAGAAGCGCCGGCUAACUACGUG